ensembl:lncRNA
CGAUGGACAUGAGUUUGAGUGAACUCUGGGAGUUGGUGAUGGACAGGGGGUCACAAAGAAUUGGACAGGACUGAGUGACUGAACUGAACUGAACUGAAGGCUGAAUGAUGCAAUCUCAGGGCAAGAGGAGACAUGAACAAUGAAGGAAGUAGCUUUCUAAGGCGCUCUACCAGUCCCUCUGUUUCACCUCUCCUUCCCACUGGCUGUUGGCAUCACUGCCUAGGACAACACCAACACCAUCUACUUAGGGCCACCUUGUCUGUAACAAGGGCCAUACUGUCUUACCAACACCUGCUGCUUAGGACCAUAUUGUCUUUUCUGUUCCCCUCAGCCCAGAAGGAAUCAUCUGUCAGACUUCAUUUCUCAUUGCUGCUGGGAACCAGCCAUGGGAAGAGUAAGGAGGAAGACAGGGANGUGGUGGUACUGGAAAAAAACAUCAGCUUGAGAGCUGAGAGGUGCCAUGUUUUGUUUCUCUGGAUUCCCUGGGCUUCAAGAGACUGUGUGUGUGAAUGUUACACUCUUACCCAAAUGUCCUUCGUGGUGGUGUUGCAACCAGGCCACAGUCCUAUUUCUUCCACCUCCUUCAGGUCUUAGACAGGAUAGCUUGCCUAAAAAGAAACCACUUCAGUAGCAAGGGAUUUAGCACAAGGAUGCAAGAGUGCCUCACGGGACCCACAGCAAGAACACCCAGGUCUCAGGAGAGCUGAGAAGCGCCUGGACACCCAGUGAACUGCCCUUCCUGUCUGCUCUCCCCUCUGAUGCCACACAGUGAAUCAGCCCUGAUGCUCUCUGUGCUCCGUUUUCCUGCCUUACUUUGCAGAUCAGCUUUCUUCGCUUGCUCAUCAACACAUGUUCCUAAAAUAGCUGCUCUAGCCUCCCCCCACAGCCUGUCCUAAUUGCCUGACCUCCAGCUCCAGGCCUUGCCCCAGACUCGCUCCUAGACUCUGGUCCCUUAGUGCCAAAAAUCGUAAGAGAGGGUAUCUGAUUGGCUGCUGCUCAGCCAAUGACUUGUCUCUUGCUGGGUCAGGUGUCUACUUCUCAUCCAAUAGUAUGAGGCCAGCAGGCAGGGGGUCGGUGGUAUAAGCUGCUGGCUUCUCAGGAUUAUGUGUGGGCAGGUUUGUUAGAAAGGGGAGUUGGGGACCCUAAGUUUUUCCUCUAAGCCACCCAGGAUCCAGUGGAAGGCAGAUUCCUUUCCAUACCUGUGAGCAUUGUCAAGGGUGUCCUCAGAAAUGUUCCUGUUACCCAGGCAGAGAUGGAGCCCUCCCCCGUCUCAGCUUCAGGCAGGGUAGCCAGGGGCCAGGACUCUCCUCCCCUCACGUGCUCAGGCUUGAGUGAAGGUGGCCUCUACCACAUCCUAGAAACUCUCUUCUCCUCCAUCUCAGCGACUGCCCUGGGGCUUCUGGUCCCCUUGAUCCGGGGUAGCCCCAGUUGUGUGGCGGUGAGGACAGGAGGCGGGUGCUCUGGCUGGGGUGGGGGGGUCCUCCCGGUGCUGCUGGAAGGGCCUCCAGCCUAUUGGUCCCAACCUGCAGGUUGUCUCCGGCUCCUGCUCUGAGCACACUCUGCCUAUCUGAGGGUGGUUAAUCCUUUAUGGUGGUUUAAAAUAUGUCCACACGUUUUCAGAUGCUCCCUUUAAAGGGGGGAGCCCAAUUCUCCUCUCCUGAGUGUGGGCUGCACUUUGAGAUUUGCUUCUAACAAAUAGCAUUAGGCAGAAGUGAUGGUAUGUGACUCCUGAGACUAGGUCAUAAAAAGUACUGUGGCUUUCUUCUAACUCUGGGGAAGCAGCCCUAUAGGAAGCUGAUGCAGGGACGAGCUGAGGCCACCUGCCCACACCCAUCUGAAUGAGCUACCUUGGAAGUGAGUCUUCAGCCCCAGUCAAGCUUUCAGAUGCUCAAGCACCAGCUAGCAUCUUGACAGUAAACUCAUGAGGGAGCUUGAGCUGGAACCAGCCCACCGAGCUUCUCUCAAAUUUCUGACCCCCACAAACUAUGAGAUGAUAAAUAUUUCUUUAAAGUUUUGGGGUUGUUUGUUACACAGCAAUAGUUAAGGAAUGUUAAAUAAUACACUCCUGUAUCUGUUGUCUUCCUCAAGUGUUUGACAUUUUGUGGGAAAGGAUUUUAAUUCACUUUCAAAUUUCUGCUAGGGAUUUGCAUGGCAAAGUGGAAGUCCUCAGGGGAAGAAAAUCCAGACCAGAAGUCAGGAGGUUUUCAUUCUGGUUUUGUAUACUCACGAAUUCCUGUGGAAUUUGCCCCGUUUGUUUAUGCUUUUCGGUCACUGUUAUCUUGUCUAUAGAAUGGGGCUAAGAGUGUUUGUCCCAUGUGCUUCUAGGAUUGUUACAAGGAUGAAAUGAGAUCAUAAAUGUGAAAGUGUUUCAUAAAUAAUGAAAUUCUUUGUACAUAUGAGGAUUAAAAUGUCAAGAUUAAACAUGGACUGUGAUAGAAUUUAAGGUACAUUCGUCAUCUGAACUGUCAUUCUUUGGAAUAUUUACUUUCUUUAAUCCUGACAAGUAUUAGUUAGGUUGGUGCUUCUGUCCCCAUUUUGGGAUUAGGGAACCAAGGUUCACCCAGAAGUCCAUGCUCUCACAUUCUUGCUGUUCCCACUUAUACCCUGAAGAAUCCAGAGAAUUUCUGACCUCCAUGAAUAGCCCCGGGCUCUCUUGCUGAGUUUCUCACGCUGCCCCAUUCAUCUGCUAACGACCCUUUCAAGGCUCCAG